AUGGCCAUCACCACCACCAAUGAUGCCGCUGCGCCAACCCAUGCCGCGAAUAGCACGGGCAACCAGGCCGGCCGCGACCACGUGGUCCUGUUCCCGUUCAUGGCCAAGGGCCACACCCCGCCACUGCUUCACUUCACCAGGGCGCUCACCGAGCACCAAAAGAACCUCCGCAUCACCAUGAUCGUCACGCCCGCCAACCUCGCCUUCGCCCGCAGCCGCCUCCCGGCGUCGGUGCGGCUUGCCGUUCUCCCGUUCCCGUCACUGCCGCCACUGCCAUCCGGCGUCGAGUCCACAGACACCCUGCCUGGCCCGGACCUAUACCCGAUGUUCCUGCGCGCCACGGCGCUCCUGCGGGAGCCCUUCACGGAGUUCUGGGCGUCGCUCCCGGCCCCGCCGCUCGUGCUCAUUUCCGACUUCUUCCUCGGGUUCACGCACCGCAUUGCGGCCGACGCAGGCAUCCGCCGCAUCGUGUUCCACAACAUGUCCUGCUUCUCCAUGGCCACCUGCAAAUCGCUCAUGCCGAGCCCACCGCCGUCCAGCGCCCAGCACGGCGCAAGCUUCCAUGUGUCCCGCAUGUCGGAAUACGUAAGGAUCAUGGCUACGGAUGUCCCGAACACGAUCGCCAAGAUCGCCGAUGCCGAGGAUCCAGUGACACGGUUCCUUAUCAAUGACAUCGACGACUCUGACGGGCACAACUGGGGCGUCCUGGUCAACAGCUUCGCCAUGUUGGAGGAGUACUACGUAUCGGCCUUCAUGUUGUUCUACCAGCCAGACGCGCGCGCCUGGCUGGCAGGCCCUCUGUUUCUCGCCGCCGGUGACAUGCCGGAGCAUGUGGAAGAGCAGGACCCCAAGGGGUGCCUCGCCUGGCUCGACGAGAUGGCGGAGCGAUCGGAGUCAGUGAUCUACGUGUCGUUUGGGACGCAGGCCCAUGUCUCCGAUGAGCAGCUCGACGAGCUGGCGCUCGGGAUGGUGCGGUCCGGCCACCCCUUCCUCUGGGCCGUCCGGUCCGGCACGUGGUCGCCGCUGGUGGACGCGGGGCCACACGGAAGGAUCGUCCGCAGGUGGAUCCCACAGAGGAGCGUGCUAGCUUGUUAG
rnacentral:rRNA from 1 species